rnacentral:rRNA from 1 species
CCGUACCGUAAACCGACACAGGUGGAUGAGGAGAGAAUCCUAAGGCCGGCGGAAGAAGCAUUGUCAAGGAACUCGGCAAAAUGGCCCCGUAACUUAGGGAUAAGGGGUGCCUCAGAAAUGAGGCCGCAGAGAAUAGGCUCAAGCAACUGUUUAGCAAAAACACAGGUCUAUGCGAAACCGAAAGGUGAGGUAUAUGGGCUGACGCCUGCCCGGUGCUGGAAGGUUAAGAGGAGAGGUUAGCGCAAGCGAAGCUUUGAAUUUAAGCCCCAGUAAACGGCGGCCGUAACGAUAACGGUCCUAAGGUAGCGAAAUUCCUUGUCGGGUAAGUUCCGACCCGCACGAAAGGCGUAAUGAUUUGAGCGCUGUCUCGACAAUGCAUCCGGUGAAAUUGAAGUACCAGUGAAGAUGCUGGUUACCUGCGCCAGGACGGAAAGACCCCAUGGAGCUUUACUCCAGUUUGGUACUGGGACUCGGUAUUGCAUGUACAGGAUAGGUGGGAGGCUAGGAGAUAGUAACGCCAGUUAUUAUGGAGCCGCUGUUGGGAUACCACCCUUGCAGUAUUGGGUUUCUAACCAGCCGCCGUGACCCGGCGGUGGGACAAUGCCAGACGGGGAGUUUGACUGGGGCGGUCGCCUCCGAAAGGGUAUCGGAGGCGCCCAAAGGUUCCCUCAGAAUGGACGGAAACCAUUCGAAGAGUGCAAAGGCAGAAGGGAGCUUGACUGCGACACCGACGGGUGGAGCAGGUACGAAAGUAGGGCUUAGUGAUCCGGUGGUAUUAAGUGGGAAUGCCAUCGCUCAACGGAUAAAAGCUACCCUGGGAUAACAGGCUUAUCACUCCCAAGAGUUCACAUCGACGGAGUGGUUUGGCACCUCGAUGUCGGCUCAUCGCAUCCUGGGGCUGUAGUAGGUCCCAAGGGUUGGGCUGUUCGCCCAUUAAAGCGGUACGCGAGCUGGGUUCAGAACGUCGUGAGACAGUUCGGUCCCUAUCCGGCGUGGGCGUAGGAUAUCUGAGAGGAGCUGUCCUUAGUACGAGAGGACGGGGAUGGACGGGCCGCUGGUGCAUCGGUUAGACUGCCAAGUCUACGGCCGAGUAGCCAAGCCCGGAAGGGAUAAACGCUGAAGGCAUCUAAGCGUGAAGCCCCCCUUAAGAUGAGAUAUCCCAUUCGAAAGAAGUAAACCCCCUUGAAGGCGACGAGGUAGAUAGGGCAGAGGUGGAAGUGCAGUAAUGCAUGGAGCUGACUGUUACUAAUCGGGUGAGGGCUUGUC